rnacentral:rRNA from 1 species
UACGUAGGGAGCAAGCGUUGUCCGGAAUCAUUGGGCGUAAAGCGCGCGUAGGCGGCCCCGUAAGUCCGCUGUGAAAGUCAAAGGCUCAACCCUUUGAAAGCCGGUGGAUACUGUGGGGCUAGAGUCCGGAAGAGGCGAGUGGAAUUCCUGGUGUAGCGGUGGAAUGCGCAGAUAUCAGGAGGAACACCAAUAGCGAAGGCAGCUCGCUGGGACGGUACUGACGCUAAGGCGCGAAAGCGUGGGGAGCGAACAGG